rnacentral:rRNA from 1 species
AUUGAACGCUGGCGGCAGGCCUAACACAUGCAAGUCGAGCGGAUGAAGGGAGCUUGCUCCUGGAUUCAGCGGCGGACGGGUGAGUAAUGCCUAGGAAUCUGCCUGGUAGUGGGGGAUAACGUCCGGAAACGGGCGCUAAUACCGCAUACGUCCUGAGGGAGAAAGUGGGGGAUCUUCGGACCUCACGCUAUCAGAUGAGCCUAGGUCGGAUUAGCUAGUUGGUGGGGUAAAGGCCUACCAAGGCGACGAUCCGUAACUGGUCUGAGAGGAUGAUCAGUCACACUGGAACUGAGACACGGUCCAGACUCCUACGGGAGGCAGCAGUGGGGAAUUUUGGACAAUGGGCGAAAGCCUGAUCCAGCCAUGCCGCGUGUGUGAAGAAGGUCUUCGGAUUGUAAAGCACUUUAAGUUGGGAGGAAGAGCAGUAAGUUAAUACCUUGCUGUUUUGACGGUACCAACAGAAUAAGCACCGGCUAACUUCGUG